AAUAUCCUAAAGUUCUAAUGAAAAUAAAAGAAUUUUUUCUCCUCAUUUUUCACUAAUUUCCCAAAGAGACACCUCAAAAGAAAAUCUUUUUGGAUUUUGGAAGUAACACCCUAAAGAAAGCUUUUAAAGAAGUGUUAAAAGAAAAUUCUUUUUUUUUGAAUUUUGGUCCUAAUAUACUAAAGGAAACUUAAAAAAAUUCAUCUCAAGUCCUAGAUAUUAAUUGCCUAAAGGAAAAACAACCUCAAAAUUUUCUCAUUUCUAGAAAUAGCAUUCUAAAGAAAAUUUAUAACGAAAUAUAAAAUGCAACAUCUCUUUUUGGAUUUUAGAGUUACAGCACAUUUUUUCAAAUAUAAAACAGAAAAUAACAAUAAUAAAAGACUUGACAUUACUGUACAAAAGUAGAGAGUAAAAGACGGCAUAAAGUAAGGAACAAACUCAAAACAUAAAAAAUAAAACAAAUCUCCUUAAGCAACUCCUGACUGAGUGAUUCUGACUGGAUGGUCAUGGGGAAUUUGUCAUGCUCAAACUCCGGUAAAUAAAUCCACACUUGUAUGAGAAAUCUUCAACCAGCACGAUGUGAGAUAAUAACACUCCCUAUUAAACACAUGCAAGACAUAAUUGAGACUAUUUUUGCAAAAUGACUUAUUUGGCCAAAAGGUGGGUAGAAGUGCAAAAUUUGUUAAGACCCAGCAAAGCCAAGAACUUAAGAUUUACUAGGAAGACCGGACCCGAUGUGGGUUGCCUACGUAUCUCACCCCGAGAGACGAGAAUCAGGUUCGCGUAGUUCGGGCAAAUUGGAUACGGGCGAGAAUAAUAAAAACCCACUAAUUCAUAGAAAUCACAUUUUUUGUUGCUUUUUCUUGAAGAAUGACGAAACAUGCAAAAUCUUUUUGGAUUUUCUUUUUCUCUCUUUUUUGAUUUUUGAUUUUUGAAAAAUGAUGAAAAAGUGCAAAAUCUUUUUUGAAUUUUUCAUGUUUUUUUUUGUCUUUUUUCUUAAAAAUGUAACAAAGAAACAUAACUAGACCCUACUUGCAUUAUUUUCACACUUCCCCUUCUCUUUUUCUUUUUUUUUUCUUUCUUUCUUCUUUCUUUUUCAUUGUUUUUUUUUCUUUUUUUCACUUCUUCAUUUACCCUCAGUUAUCAUUGGUCCGCCAAAUGACCCUUUUACCCUUGAAUAAAUGCAAAUAGCACAUAAGAUGCAUCAGGAUGGUCUUUUAUUUUGGGUACACCUGUCCUAGACGGACCCAACCCCUGUGUUGAGUCUGCAAAGUCAAAUGUGAUGGAAGCAAACGUUCCUACUAGGGAUCCGGCAUAAGGCUGUGUUUUUCUAGGUUUAAAUCCUGGGGUUUUGUUCUAGACUUGGGGUACCCGAGCGGAUAACUGAGGCAGAGGAAGGGGUGAUGUACCGGGAGCACUGAAGUCUACCCGGCCUUGUCGCUUGCCCAGCCUCGUUCUAUUUGGUAUAAUUUCUACAGAAAAAGUGAGCUACGCGAACGUAUGCACCAUUUUCAGAAGACUCAGAGGGGUGGCGUAAGAAGACAGUUAUAUACAACUCAAACAACAUCAAAGCGGUAAACAUAUAACAUUUAGCACAAAAAGUUCACAAAAUACAAUAAUAUCAACAAUAAAUAAAACCAAGCAAAAUCAUAUUAACAAGAUCAAAUUCUUGAACCCUGAACCAGAGAUUCUAGGUUCGAUCCCCAGCAGAGUUGCUAGAGCUGUCACACCUCCUUUUUCACUACACCCCCGAGAGGGGUGUAUAAAGGGAGUUUUUUCCAAUUUAAAGUGACAAUCGAAACGGGAUCAUUUUAUUAAAAAUUCAGAGUCGCCACUUGGGAGAUUUAUGGUAUCCCAGGUCACCAGUUUAGAAUCCCGAAUCGAGGAAAUAUUGACUCUGUUUAACAGUCCGCGAACCAGAAAUCCGAGUAAGGAAUUCUGUUAACCCGGGAGAAGGUGUUAGGCACUCCCGAGUUUCGUGGUUCUAGUACGGUCGCUUUGAUCAUACUUUGCUUGACUAAAUUGUAUAAUUACUAAUUUUAGAACCUAUGUGCAUUUACCUGCUACCGCUUCUAAAUUAAGAAAAUUAUCUUGAAACGAGUCACGCGUACAUGUACCCAUUUGUUUGGCGUGUCAAAAAUCAUGUCACGCGAACGUGUCCACAAUUAAUAACACUUUAUUAAGAAAAAUUUGGCCAAAGUUGCGCGAAUGCAUGCUCUGGUUUUGUUUUGAGGAUAAGGUAUUGAUCGCUAUUCUAUUUUUUAUAUAUAUAAGAAUUGGGCCAGGCUCACUAAAUUGAGCUCAACAGAAACGACUCGACUGGCCCAUUUAAUUCUAAAAAUGCAUCUCAUCAAACCUACUCAAUUUUCCCCAAAGCCAAUUUAUUAAAACAUCAGACAAAAAUAGAAUUAUACUCGAAACUUCCAUAGUAAUUAAACCAACAUGAGUAUUAACUCCAAUUAAAGUAGGCACAUAACGACAUUGACCAAUGAAAAUGAUUAAGCAUUUUAAAUCACAAGAAACAGUAAACAUGACGGAAGCCCGCAAAUAAAUAAUUAAACUAAACUUAAUAACAUGCUAAAAAAAACUUUAUUCAUGCUCAAAUAUACGCAACUAACAUAUCCAAACAGUGCAUUACGCGAAAGAGUAAAAGAGUGCAAAAGAUGAACCUUCUAUUGCUGGAGUUUUCCAAUGUUUACAACAAAGAGGAGCUCCAAAAUUGCAAAUCCAAACGAUCUACAAGCGACAACUUCGCCGAACCCAGCAACCGGAGUCCACAUCGCUGGAAACUUCGACGACCUGCUACGUCUUAUAGUAAAAAGGAGUUGGUAGAGAUGGUGAAACUCCGGCGAAAUGCCGGGAAAAAGCAGUGGCCUAGCGGAGAUGAAGUUGGGGUCAUUUUUAUGUGGUUUCAGAGAGAUUUUAAUGGUGAGAAAAUGCUGUGUUUUGUGACUGAAAAUGAACGAAAAUAGGGAUGGUUUAAAGAGGUGUGAAGAAGGAACGACGUGAGGGUCGGUGUCGUUAUUGUGUUACGACGGAAUUGGGUGGAGCUCGGCGACUGACUUCUAGGGUUGAGGUACGUCACUGGGAGGCCACGAGGAGGUUCAGCAACGAUGGUGAGCUAAAGCGUGGUCGUCGAUGGAGCUGCUGGACACUGGCUGUUACUGAAGAAGAAGAGAACGACAGUGGGGUGGGUCGGGGAAGACAAUGAUCGGGGGUGGGGUCGUUUGUGUAUGGCUGCUCCUUAGCUUUUUGUUUUUCAGCCUUCUGUGUUCUCUUGUUGCUGGUUCGACGAAGUACGGGAGGGGUCGUUUUUAGAGGUAGGGUCGUUUGGAGAAGAUGACGCGCAGGGGGGGUCUGUUUUUGCGUAGCUUUUGUGUGUAUUUCAGCCCUCAGCCUUUUUUUGUUCCUUCCGCCUCUUCUUCUUAAUUAUUUAGUCUUAAGCAUUAUUUUAUAGUGUAGAGUCUAGGUUGUUGGGUUUUAGGUNNNN
rnacentral:lncRNA from 1 species